AUACGUAGGGGACGAGCGCUGUCCGGAAUUAUUGGGCGUAAAGAGCAUGUAGGCGGUUUUUUAAGUCCGGAGUGAAAAUGCGGGGCUCAACCCCGUAUGGCUCUGGAUAAUGGAAGACUUGAGUGCGGGAGAGGAAAAGGGAAUUCCCAGUGUAGCGGUUGAAUGCGUAGAUAUUGGGAGGAACACCAGUGGCGAAGGCGCCUUUCUGGACUGUGUCUGACGCUGAGAUGCGAAAGCCAGGGUAGCGAACGGGAUUAGAUACCCCGGUAGUCCUGGCCGUAAACGAUGGGUACUAGGUGUAGGAGGUAUCGACCCCUUCUGUGCCGGAGUUAACGCAAUAAGUACCCCGCCUGGGGAGUACGUCCGCAAGGAUGAAACUCAAAUGAAUUGGCGGGG
rnacentral:rRNA from 1 species